CAACUGGCUGUGUCCACUCAGCUGUACUUUGUGCACAGAUGCUGUGGCUGCAAAGGAGGAGAUCAGGGAAGAAUUAAAUACUCAAUUAGAACUCUCCACUGCCAAAAAUGGACUAGUAAUACUACCUACCCAUGAAGAUUUUUUCAAAUUUCCUUUGGAGAACUUAACAGCAGAACAAGGCAAUAUCUCAGAAGCCCAUGGUGAAAGGAACUUGGAUAUUCUGGUUGUCUGACAGCAAAAACCAUGGAAGGAAUAUUUUGUACAAAUCUGUUAUUAUCACCUUUGGAUCUCAUGCAAAUAAGCUUCAGACAGCAACAAAACAUAGACAGAUUCAGGAGCAGAACUUGACAAGAAGCUGAGGUCCAGAGCAGUAUCUUUAGAAGAGCAACAUAACAAAUCAGUGAUGACUUAGAUUUUAUACCCCAUAAUUUGAACACUUCCAAAAGUAGAUG